rnacentral:rRNA from 1 species
UGGGGAACAAAAUCCCUAGCGGCUCCCUUCGAUCUCUUCGGGCCUGGACAUCUCUCUCUCUCCCCCGCCUCCUUCUCCACCUCGGCCGCCGCCGCGGCCAGGCCGGCGUGGCGGCGCGCCACCGCGCGACUCCCCUUACCUCUGCUGCAGCUCUUCUUCCCCAUCGCCAACCUGCGGCUGCUUCUUCUUCCCACGCCCCUGCUGCUGCUUGCUCUCUCAAUCUCUGCUACUACUUCUCCUUCCCUCCGCUGCUUGCUGCUUCUCCUUCUUCUUCAACCUGCUGCUGCUCGCCCUCAACCUCCCUCUGCUGCAGCUCUUCUCUAAGCCCUCAUGCCCCUGCUGCUCUUCACUAACUCCACGUUCUUGCUGCUCCUCUUCUCCUAAUCUUGUUGUUGCUCUUCCUGAACCCCUGCUGCUGCUCCUUCUCUCCUCCACCUCUUGCUGCUGCUUCUCUCUGAACCGAACUGCUGCUGCUCCCUCUCCCACGAACCUGCUGCUGCUCCUCUCUCCCUGAUGCCCCUACUUCUUCUCUGAAUUCCAAACUGUUGUUGUUCUUUGUCUCUCCCCCUCUCUGUGUGUGAGUGAGUGUGUGCGUGUGCGUGCGUGUGUGUGUGUAUGUGUGUGUAAUUUCUGUGAACAAUUAGAGUGGAGACUUGAUAGAUUGUACUCUGUUUUACACUAUUUCAAUAUAUGUGAAUCGCCCG